rnacentral:tRNA from 1 species
UCCCUGGUGGCUCAGAGGGUAAAGCGUCUGCCUGCAAUGCAGGAGACCCUGGUUCAAUCCCUGUGUUGGGAA